rnacentral:rRNA from 1 species
UACGUAGGGUGCGAGCGUUGUCCGGAAUUAUUGGGCGUAAAGCGCACGUAGGCGGACCGCUAAGUCGGAUGUGAAAUCCCUCAGCUUAACUGAGGAAGUGCAUUCGAAACUGACGGUCUUGAGUACGGAAGAGGGUCGCGGAAUUCCCGGUGUAGAGGUGAAAUUCGUAGAUAUUAGGAAGAACACCAGUGGCGAAGGCGGCUCACUGGCCCGGUACUGACGCUGAGGCGCGAAAGCGUGGGGAGCAAACAGG